rnacentral:RNase_P_RNA from 1 species
CGAGUCGUGCGGACGGUCGCGUCGGGGCAUGUCCCCGCCGAGGAACGUCCGGGCUCCACAGGGCAAGGUGGUGGCUAACGGCCACCCGGGGCGACCCGCGAGACAGUGCCACAGAAAACAGACCGCCGGGGCCGAGAGGCACCCGGUAAGGGUGAAACGGUGGUGUAAGAGACCACCAGCGCCCAGGGUGACCUGGGCGGCUCGGUAAACCUCACCUGGAGCAAGGUCAAGAGGGGGCGCGACCUGAGAGGGCCGCGGCCCUGCGCGGAUGUUCGAGGGCUGCUCGCCCGAGUCCGCGGGUAGACCGCUGGAGGCUGUCGGCAACGGCAGCCCUAGAUGGAUGACCGUCACCCCGAUGGCCGCGAGGCCCCGGGGUACAGAACCCGGCGUACAGCCGACUCGUCUG